rnacentral:rRNA from 1 species
CAAUAGCGUAUAUUAAAGUUGUUGCGGUUAAAAAGCUCGUAGUUGGAUUUCUGCCGAGGACGACCGGUCCGCCCUCUGGGUGAGUAUCUGGCUUGGCCUGGGCAUCUUCUUGGAGAACGUAGCUGCACUUGACUGUGUGGUGCGGUAUCCAGGACUUUUACUUUGAGGAAAUUAGAGUGUUUCAAGCAGGCAUGCGCCUUGAAUACCUCAGCAUGGAAUAAUAGAAUAGGACUUCCGGUUCUAUUUUGUUGGUUUUUGGAGCCGAAGUAAUGAUUAAUAGGGAUAGUUGGGGGGCACUCGUACUCCGUUGUCAGAGGUGAAAUUCUUGGAUUGACGGAAGACGAACAACUGCGAAAGCAUCUGCCAAGGAUGUUUUCAUUGAUCAAGAACGAAAGUUAGGGGAUCAAAGAUGAUUAGAUAC